rnacentral:rRNA from 1 species
AUACGGAGGAUCCGAGCGUUAUCCGGAUUUAUUGGGUUUAAAGGGUGCGCAGGCGGCCAUUUAAGUCAGCGGUUAAGUCGUGGGGCUCAACCCCAUUCUGCCGUUGAUACUGGGUGGCUUGAUUGCGGUCGAGGUUGGCGGAAUUCGUUGUGUAGCGGUGAAAUGCAUAGAUAUGACGAAGAACACCGAUUGCGUAGGCAGCAGACCAGACCGCAAAUGACGCUCAUGCACGAAAGUGCGGGGAUCGAACAGGAUUAGAUACCCUGGUAGUCCGCACAGUAAACGAUGAAUACUUGUUUUCGGCGAUACAAUGCCGGAGGCAAAGCGAAAGCGAUAAGUAUUCCACCUGGGGAGUACGCCGGCAACGGUGAAACUCAAAGGAAUUGACGGGG